AACGCACGAGACCUGCGGACCUGCGGAGGGAUCAUUACCAAGGUUUACUGCUGGGACAUUCUCCCGGUAGUUCCUUUCUUACAAUCCCUUGUGUGCAAUAAUGUAUAAAAUGGUCUUUUUUAAAAGGUCAUUUUUUCUAUACAAUCCUUGACUGAAUAAAUUAAAAUAUAACCUAAAUACAACUUUUAACAAUGGAUCUCU
rnacentral:misc_RNA from 1 species